AAAUAGAUUCUUGAGUGUUACUUUGCAUACAUUCAGCCUAUCCGGACGUCGGAUACCAUUGCUAGAUGGUUACUCUGAUUGGUACAGAAAUUAGUUCUUGUGCUAUCGGCUUAGGUUCAAACCUAUGGGGUCACACACAUUAGAAGUUUCUCUCCGAUCAUAUGGCUAAUCUGAAGAGUCUCACUGGAUGGAGACUUUGCUGAAGAGUCCCACUGGAUGGGGACUCUAGAGAAGAGUCCCACUAGACUUGAACUCUAUCAUUAAUGGAGGAUUAAUUAGUAAUUAGAUCACUAAUUAGCAUAAUUUAAUUGAGCAUUAAAGUCUGGAUCAAGUCCGAUUGAAUUGGAUUCAAUCAGAUUAGGUCUGUUUAGGUUAUGAGAUGACUUAAUCAGUAAGGAAGAAAUG
rnacentral:lncRNA from 1 species